rnacentral:rRNA from 1 species
GUCGAACGGAGUUAUCAUUUUUGAAGCGAUUAGCUUGCUAAGAGUGGAAAAGUUGAUAACUUAGUGGCGGACGGGUGAGUAACGCGUGGGUAACCUGCCUUACACAGGGGGAUAACACUUAGAAAUAGGUGCUAAUACCGCAUAAGCGCACAGUCCCGCAUGGGACAGAGUGAAAAACAUUAGUGGUGUAAGAUGGACCCGCGUCUGAUUAGCUUGUUGGCGGGGUAACGGCCCACCAAGGCGACGAUCAGUAGCCGGCCUGAGAGGGUGGACGGCCACAUUGGGACUGAGACACGGCCCAAACUCCUACGGGAGGCAGCAGUGGGGGAUAUUGGACAAUGGGGGAAACCCUGAUCCAGCGACGCCGCGUGAGUGAAGAAGUAUUUCGGUAUGUAAAGCUCUAUCAGCAGGGAAGAAAGAAAUGACGGUACCUGAGUAAGAAGCCCCGGCUAACUACGUGCCAGCAGCCGCGGCAAUACGUAGGGGGCAAGCGUUAUCCGGAAUUACUGGGUGUAAAGGGAGCGUAGACGGUAAUGCAAGUCUGGAGUGAAAGGCGGGGGCCCAACCCCCGGACUGCUCUGGAAACUGUGUAACUGGAGUGCAGGAGAGGCAGGCGGAAUUCCUAGUGUAGCGGUGAAAUGCGUAGAUAUUAGGAGGAACACCAGUGGCGAAGGCGGCCUGCUGGACUGUAACUGACGUUGAGGCUCGAAAGCGUGGGGAGCAAACAGGAUUAGAUACCCUGGUAGUCCACGCCGUAAACGAUGAUUACUAGGUGUGGGUGGGU